rnacentral:rRNA from 1 species
AUUCAGAGUUUUCUAAACUCCCAACCCUAUUUGAACUUACCUUUGUUGCUUCGGCGGCGGGGCUACCCUGCGGGAGAAUACCACUUAGUGGUUACCCUGUAGUUUCAGGUACAUCAGCUACCCGGUAGUCAUCCCCGCCGGCGGCCAACUAAACUCUGUUUUCUUUGGAAUUCUGAAUAACAAACUUAAUAAGUUAAAACUUUCAACAACGGAUCUCUUGGUUCUGGCAUCGAUGAAGAACGCAGCGAAAUGCGAUAAGUAAUGUGAAUUGCAGAAUUCAGUGAAUCAUCGAAUCUUUGAACGCACAUUGCGCCCAUUAGCAUUCUAGUGGGCAUGCCUGUUCGAGCGUCAUUUCACCACUUAAGCCUUGUUGCUUAGCGUUGGGAGCCUACGGCACGGCCCGUAGCUCCUUAAAGUGAUUGGCGGAGUUGGUUCUCACUCUAAGCGUAGUAAUUAUAUCUCGCUUCUGUAGUGGUCCCGGCCCCUGCCGUAAAACCCCUUAUACAAAGGUUGACCUCGGAUCAGGUAGGAAUACCCGCUGAACUUAAGCAUAUCAUUAAGCGGAGGA